rnacentral:rRNA from 1 species
AGUGAACGCUGGCGGUAGGCCUAACACAUGCAAGUCGAACGGCAGCACAGUAAGAGCUUGCUCUUACGGGUGGCGAGUGGCGGACGGGUGAGGAAUACAUCGGAAUCUACUUUUUCGUGGGGGAUAACGUAGGGAAACUUACGCUAAUACCGCAUACGACCUACGGGUGAAAGCAGGGGAUCUUCGGACUUUGCGCGAUUGAAUGAGCCGAUGUCGUAUUAGCUAGUUGGCGGGGUAAAGGCCCACCAGGGCGACGAUCCGUAGCUGGUCUGAGAGGAUGAUCAGCCACACUGGAACUGUGACGCGGUCCAGACACCUACAGGAGGCAGCAGUGGGGAAGAUUGGACAAUGGGCGCAAGCCUGAUCCAGCCAUACCGCGUGGAUGAAGAAGGCCUUCGGGUUGUAAAGCCCUUUUGUUGGGAAAGAAAAGCAGCAGGUUAAUACCCCGCUGUUCUGACGGUACCCAAAGAAUAAGCACCGGCUAACUUCGUG